AAGGGUAUAGCUCAGUGGCAGAGCACAUGCUUAAUAUGCACAAGGUCCUGGGUUCAAUCCCCAGUACCUCCA
rnacentral:tRNA from 1 species